rnacentral:rRNA from 1 species
UGGGGAAUCUUGCGCAAUGGGCGAAAGCCUGACGCAGCCAUGCCGCGUGAAUGAUGAAGGUCUUAGGAUUGUAAAAUUCUUUCACCGGGGACGAUAAUGACGGUACCCGGAGAAGAAGCCCCGGCUAACUUCGUGCCAGCAGCCGCGGUAAUACGAAGGGGGCUAGCGUUGCUCGGAAUUACUGGGCGUAAAGGGAGCGUAGGCGGACAUUUAAGUCAGGGGUGAAAUCCCGGGGCUCAACCUCGGAAUUGCCUUUGAUACUGGGUGUCUUGGGUAUGAGAGAGGUGUGUGGAACUCCGAGUGUAGAGGUGAAAUUCGUAGAUAUUCGGAAGAACACCAGUGGCGAAUGCGACACACUGGCUCAUUACUGACGCUGAGGCUCGAAAGCGUGGGGAGCAAACAGG